UGGAAGUAGAAGCACUGACUGAUGAAGAUGUAGCAAACCUAGCUGGUGCUCUGGGGGCAGGCAAAACCCUGAGUCUGAGGACAAUAGACAGCCUGCUGUCUGAGAGCGGUGUGGAGAAGGUCCUAUGUAUGUGCCCUUGCCAAGCAGACGUCUGUGGACGCCUAUUUCAGCCUGAGUGCCCUCACAGCAGGAACUCUGAAACACCUGGUCCACUACGUGCAAAAUGCCAAGGGCAGAGCUAGUGUUAGAUGGGCCAGUAAUUAAGUAGAGGAGGAGGACUACCUCAGCUGGUACCUCACAGUAAAGACGACCAAGGACAGAAACUGCUUCAGUCUGACCCUUGUGGCCUCGUCCCGCUGUGGCUUUGUCCAGUCUGGGAGCACGGGCCCCAUCUCAGCGCUCUCACUCAGCCUGUUCAGAGCAGCUGACCUCUCGUCCUUCCAGUGAACAGAUGUCCUGCAGAGGAGCCACACACUCUGGCUCACAGAAAAGGAGGGUGGUUUACCUGCGCAUGUGGAUGGCCAGAUGAGCGCCCUGGCCCUGGUGCCGGGUCUUA